rnacentral:rRNA from 1 species
UCUUGACCUCAGAUCAGGUAGGAAUACCCGCUGAACUUAAGCAUAUCAAUAAGCGGAGGAAAAGAAACCAACAGGGAUUGCCCUAGUAACGGCGAGUGAAGCGGCAACAGCUCAUAUUUUGAAAUCUGGCGCUUUUAAACUCCGAGUCGUAAUUUACAUAUGAGCGAUUUGUCUUCUGGCAACGUGCCUUCCGAGUUCCCUGGAACAGGACGCCACAGAGGGUGAGAACCCCGUACGGUUGGUCACUGCUCUAUUGCCGCUGUGAAAGCCCCUUCGACGAGUCGAAUAGAUUGGCAAUGCAGCUCUAAAGGGGAGGUACACGUCUUCCAAAGCUAAACCCCGGCCAGAGACCGAUAGCGCACAAGUAGAGAGAGCAAAAGAUGAAAAGCACAUUGGAAAAGAGAGAUAAAAAGAACUUGUGAAAAAGUGGAACAGGGAACCGCUUGCAGGACCAGACUCGGGCUUACGUUGAUCAUCCGUGGUUUCGAACGGAGAACUCUUCUGUAGGCAUGCCACCAUCGGUUUAGGCCGUAUCGGAAAAAGGUCUCCGUCACGAUCACCUCCUUUCACGGAGGCUUUAACGUGUCGAGACGAAUGAGCGCUCACGCUUAUCCGCUGUGAAAUUAGGACAGCUAAGUCAGACAGACUG